GACGAACGCUGGCGGCGUGCCUAAUACAUGCAAGUAGAACGCUGAAGAGAGGAGCUUACUCUUCUUGGAUGAGUUGCGAACGGGUGAGUAACGCGUAGGUAACCUGCCUUGUAGCGGGGGAUAACUAUUGGAAACGAUAGCUAAUACCGCAUAACAAUGGAUGACACAUGUCAUUUAUUUGAAAGGGGCAAUUGCUCCACUACAAGAUGGACCUGCGUUGUAUUAGCUAGUAGGUGAGGUAAUGGCUCACCUAGGCGACGAUACAUAGCCGACCUGAGAGGGUGAUCGGCCACACUGGGACUGAGACACGGCCCAGACUCCUACGGGAGGCAGCAGUAGGGAAUCUUCGGCAAUGGGGGCAACCCUGAACGAGCAACGCCGCGUGAGUGAAGAAGGUUUUCGGAUCGUAAAGCUCUGUUGUAAGUCAAGAACGGGUGUGAGAGUGGAAAGUUCACACUGUGACGGUAGCUUACCAGAAAGGGACGGCUAACUACGUG
rnacentral:rRNA from 1 species